rnacentral:rRNA from 1 species
AGUGAACGCUGGCGGUAGGCCUAACACAUGCAAGUCGAACGGCAGCACAGUAAGAGCUUGCUCUUACGGGUGGCGAGUGGCGGACGGGUGAGGAAUACAUCGGAAUCUACUUUUUCGUGGGGGAUAACGUAGGGAAACAUACGCUAAUACCGCAUACGACCUACGGGUGAAAGCAGGGGAUCUUCGGACCUUGCGCGUUUGAAUGAGCCGAUGUCGGAUUAGCUAGUUGGCGGGGUAAAGGCCCACCAAGGCGACGAUCCGUAGCUGGUCUGAGAGGAUGAUCAGCCACACUGGAACUGAGACACGGUCCAGACUCCUACGGGAGGCAGCAGUGGGGAAUAUUGGACAAUGGGCGCAAGCCUGAUCCAGCCAUACCGCGUGGGUGAAGAAGGCCUUCGGGUUGUAAAGCCCUUUUGUUGGGAAAGAAAAGCAGCAGGUUAAUACCCCGCUGUUCUGACGGUACCCAAAGAAUAAGCACCGGCUAACUUCGUG